rnacentral:lncRNA from 1 species
AGUUCCAUGAGAAUUUUAUGAGAAGGAAAAGGAUGUUGUACAUGGGCAGAAAGGUGAAAAUUGUGGCCAGAGGCAGAUUGUGGUAAAUUACAAAAUUGGCUCAUAAUCCUUUAUUCCUUCUUGCCUCCAUGCUCUUUGCAAUGUGACUUUGCCACUUUUCUCAUUAAGAGAUGGAUUCUGUUCUCCAUUGCCUUCUGUCUGGACUGGUCUUGUAACUUGUUCUGGUUAAUACAGAGGUAAAUGUGAUGACACAUCAGAAGCCCAGGCCUCAAGCAAGCUUUCCCACUUGUUCUCUUGGAACCCUUCCCAGCUAUCAGGUAAAUAAGCCCAGGCUAUUGUGCUGGAUGAUGAGAGGUCACUGGAACACUGAUGAGCCAUAACAGCUGAGGCCAUUCUAGAAUAGGCAGCUUUAGCCAACCAGGCAGCUGACUGCAGAUACAGGCCUGCAUCCAGAUGAGUCCAGAAAAGCAACCUAGAUGAGGAAACCAAGUAAUGAAAAUGUUGAGUAACUGCAUCUAUGUAUAUAAACAAGUAGCCAAA